UCGCUCUCAGGAUGGCACCUGGAGAGCUUCCAGUCCUCUACCAGUCUCGGCUAUGGGAAGGAGAGUCAAGCAGAGGCCUACCCAUUCCAUUCCUAGCUUGGCCAGUGGUUAACGAGUGGAAGACAAUCUGCUACAAGG